CUGAAACGAGAGAAGAGUUCAUUUCCAAAAUAAAACAGGAAGUCACAAAAAACAACAUGGCGACAGGACAAAAACCCAACUUGACAUACAGGUGUGACAAACAUAAGAAAAACUAUACUUUAUUGAGCGAUAUUAACCCUCCUCCCACAUUCGUUUCUCCCACUUUACUUAAGUGUUCACAUCUGUUUUAACUGCUCUCACAUUAACACAACAAUCGUUAAUCAUCACUCCAUUUGGUAUAACAUCUUUUUAAUUGAAGCUGUAAACAACGUCUCAGACUAGUGGUUUUUACACUUUUCAGCUCACCUGUCUAUAUUCAUUUAUUUAUUUGAUUUAUUUACUGGAUUUAUAUUAUCUAGAUGAUGACAGAUGAUGUUUUUAUUAAUAAUCCAUUGAACUUUCUGACUGAAUUCCACUUUGUGCUUGGUGUGACAUUGUAUUGUUGCAGAAAUAGUCAUGGUUUUCUUUUGCGUUCGACUUCUGAAUUUCCGAGUGCCCCCUGAACGCCUCAGUGAACACUACAACUGAACUAACUGCGAAUGCGCACCGUUUCGUCCUGUCGUCUUCUCUGGUAAGUCAUUGUGAGCCGCUAACGGAGAAUGAUUUAAACAAUAUAAAUACAAUAGAACGUUUUGAAAAGCUGUUGAGGUUAGUUUGUACCUCAGAGUUUAUAACUACAUGGAUGAAAGUGAAAUAUUACCCAUGUAUUGCAUAUGCUGACGCCUGUUUAACAUUAGCAUAGCAGCUAUUAUGACUUUAGCAUGUUAUGUUAACGUUACAUAUGAGUUUGGGGGGGGGAGAUGCCACGUCUUUAGCUAACUACCGCGUCAGUUAACGUUAACUAAGUACCCGGUUAGCUAGCUAACGUUACUUUAUCAGUUAACGUGGCUAAAGUCAGUGCUAGCCGAUAUGCUAGUGUUAGUUGACCGUUGACGUCAUGUUCACACCCAACGUGGCGCGAAUUUCUUGCGCUAUUGUAAAAGCGUAACAUACAACAUGACGCGUUUGUAGGCUCUUCCUGUCCUUACUAUAUUGUAGCUUCUUUGUUCACAUAGAGCUCUAUGAGACAUGUUUGUACAGAACGAAUUAAACUGUGUACGAGCCACUAUGGUGUAAAUUAUAAUGACGCCUUAUGACUUAUUUUAGAGUGUUGGUGGAGCUGCUACAACGUUAGCUUAGGCUAGCACUGCUCCAUCCAGGCUCCAUUCAGAGAACGAGCAUUUUAAAGUUCGAAACAAUUAACAAAACAUGAACAAAAUUGUUCAUGUGUUCAUCGAUCGGCUUCCUCUCCUGCAGGCUGACUCUGACGUGUAAGUUCACACACAUUGUUAAUGUUUAUGCUACAAGUAAACUGAUAUUACAUUGGUUUACAGUUUUAAAUGUCCUCCCAUCAUAAUAAUCUGUACAGAUACAGAUAAGAGGUAACAAUAAUCACCCGACCGUAAGAACAGUUCUGGAGUGAAAUGGGAUGUGAUACACUGAUUUUCUGAGAAGAAUGUAAAUGUAAUAUUGGUAGUAUUUCUCUCCCGACUCUUCCUGUUUCCUCACUGUCUUUAACUACAGACCAUCACUGCUGGUGACUUCACAGUGUCCUGCUGUGCAGCAUCUCUCCUCUAUCACGUUGGCUCUCCAUCUCUCCUGUCACAUCUACCGCUCUGUCUUUUGCAUUUGGCAACUCACACUUUGUGUCCCCCUCUAUCCCACUCUCAUGUUGGUAAUCUUUGGCAAUGAAAUGGAACAAACUCUGGAGACCUUUUUCUGAACUGAAUUUUGGACUAAGCUACGGUCACAAGGACCUGUCUGUUGGCUUGACUUGGGUUACCGGUACCUGAUCUAUCUGAUUUGAAUACUCUGAGAGACUCUCUUCUCUCACACCCAACACUAUUGCUGUUUUUACAACUUGGAAAAAGCAUUUAUACUAUUUCUGAGACCAACACAAUUGGUUAAACAUAUACAUAUUUUGUCGUAAUUGAUAAAGGGUACAACUUUUAUCAUUAAGAAUUGAAUGGUACAUUUUCAAAUAUAUAAUUUCUUAUAGUAAAUCAUUACAUCAACAUAAUUCAAGAAAGUUGCUCCCUUGUUACUUUACAUAAAAGCAAUUGUAGUAAAAGUCUAUUAUAAAAUGAAUAGUUAAUUUCCUGAUUAUUGCGGCUUUGGAGCUCUGCUGGUUUGUACCCAAACUUUGUUUUGGUAGCAGUACCCUAGAACUCUGGAAAUAAUUUCCUGUAUAAACGUACAUUAUUUCAAUCAUUCAGUGUAUUUGUGUAUUUUAGUUGUUUCACUUUGUUCAUACUGAAAUAAAAAAAAGCCAUCUAUAAGGAGGAAGUGGAUUCAUUGGGAGUUGAGUUGAGACGUUGUUCAGAAUCUUUCAUCCAUCAUCAAGUUGCCACAACAACGCUUCCUGAUUUAAUACAAACUCUAGUAUUAUAAGUUGUUCUCUUGGUGUUCUUGAUCAAUAAAAGCAGACAAAGGUUUCAUCUA